rnacentral:rRNA from 1 species
AGUGAACGCUGGCGGUAGGCCUAACACAUGCAAGUCGAACGGCAGCACAGUAAGAGCUUGCUCUUACGGGUGGCGAGUGGCGGACGGGUGAGGAAUACAUCGGAAUCUACUUUUUCGUGGGGGAUAACGUAGGGAAACUUACGCUAAUACCGCAUACGACCUACGGGUGAAAGCAGGGGAUCUUCGGACCUUGCGCGAUUGAAUGAGCCGAUGUCGGAUUAGCUAGUUGGCGGGGUAAAGGCCCACCAAGGCGACGAUCCGUAGCUGGUCUGAGAGGAUGAUCAGCCACACUGGAACUGUAACACGGUCCAGACUCCUACGGGAGGCAGCAGUGGGGAAUAUUAGACAAUGGGCGCAAGCCUGAUCCAGCCGUACCGCGUGGGUGAAGAAGGCCUUCGGGUUGUAAAGCCCUUUUGUUGGGAAAGAAAAGCAGCAGGUUAAUACCCCGCUGUUCUGACGGUACCCAAAGAAUAAGCACCGGCUAACUUCGUG